CAGCAGCCAGACCCACCUGGAACCCAGAGGACAAGGGAGCCCAAGAGAUACGGCCUGCAGCAAUUCACUGCUUGGGACAUAGUACAGGCUACAGAAGGGCCCUGAAAAGAAGAUAACAACAGCUAUCAUGUUGCCAGCAUGGUAACGGUGGCAAAAGGAGUGAAUUUUGUCAAUUACUGUCGGUGCCCUUGAUAUUCCAGGUGAAAGAAAAACUAGACUCAGCAGAUUCCCUGUGGUUAGGACCACUCAGGAGAGAAGGAGAGGAACUGAGACUUAAGGAAGUGAAGUAAAAGUUAUGUUGUGAAGAAUUGAGGAAGCUGGGAUGAUGUGACUCUUGCGUGUGGACUUUUAAUAACUUUACUUACUUUAUGUGCUUAUUGAUAUAUGGGUUCAAGAAGAGUAAAAAAAGCUAACCUUUAAACAAAAUAAUUAAAUCAGGCAAACCGUUCCUUGCUCCAUUGAUCAGGGAGACUUGGCAGUGUUUGGAUCUCUAAUGAAAUCAGGCAGAUUUAAUUAGGGUUCCUAGGGCUUUCUCCUUGUCCUGUGGAAAGUUUUGUGAUGAGUUUCAUAUGAGAAUAUAAACCAGUCCUGGGCUCCUGUAGGCAAACUCGUGACGUCAGCUACUGAAUUUGACACCUUUUUGGAUUGGAGUAGCGGUGAACUGACGGGUUUAUAACAACCCAUGACUGAAGCAAUCAAUUGCAGGCGUGGAGCUCAACUAUGUUUCCAGACUCCCUUGAAG